rnacentral:lncRNA from 1 species
UAUGGUGUAGUCACAUAUAGUAAUAUAUAGUCACGUGUAGUAACAUACAAUAAUAUAUGGUGUAGUCACAUAUAGUAAUAUAUAGUUAUAUAUAAACUAUGUAGUCAUGUAGUCAUAUGUAGUCAUGUAUGAGUUAUGUGGGGAGUAUCUAUGUAUACCAGUAGGUGAUAGUGCGUGUGUGCACAUUUAAAUUUGAAGCAAAAUUCGUUGUUUGUUUAACUCUUUUUCUUUUUCACAGGUCUUGAUGUUUGAACUACUAUGUAGUAAGUUUUUUCACAGGUCUUGGUGUUUGAACUACUAUGUAGUAAGUUUUUUCACAGGUCUUGGUGUUUGAACUACUAUGUAGUAAGUUUUUGCAGAGUG